rnacentral:rRNA from 1 species
CCAAUAGCGUAUAUUAAAGUUGUUGCAGUUAAAAAGCUCGUAGUUGAAUUUCGGGGUUAGUAGGUUGGUCAUGCCUCUGGUAUGUACUGGUCUCACUGAUUCCUCCUUCCUGAUGAACCUUAAUGCCAUUAAUUUGGUGUUUUGGGGAAUUUGGACUGUUACUUUGAAAAAAUUAGAGUGUUUAAAGCAAGCUAACGCUUGAAUACAUUAGCAUGGAAUAAUGAAAUAGGACGUUCGAUCCUAUUUUGUUGGUUUCUAGGAUUGACGUAAUGAUUAAUAGGGAUAGUUGGGGGCAUUAGUAUUCAAUUGUCAGAGGUGAAAUUCUUGGAUUUAUUGAAGACUAACUACUGCGAAAGCAUUUGCCAAGGAUGUUUUCAUUAAUCAAGAACGAAAGUUAGGGGAUCGAAGACGAUCAGAUACCGUCGUAGUCUUAACCAUAAACUAUGCCGACUAGGAAUCGGAUGAUGUUAAUUUUUUAAUGACUCAUUCGGCGCCUUACG